CGCUGCCAGAGGGCAGUUCCCGCGGGAUUUGGCCAGCGCUUCCUUUUCUUCUUGAGUUGCUCCUCCUCUCUCACCCCGGACACCUGUGCCAGCCCCGCCUCACGUUGAAGGCCCCUGCGUAAUUGGACUGCGCAGCCCUGAAGAUCCUCGACUUCCCCAGGGUCACAAGUGACCCUUCUUCUCCAACUUGUCACCUGUGAUCUCCUUGAAAGCAAGAAUUUUGUAUUGCUGACAACACCUAGUUUAGCGGAUUAGCGGGCACGCAGGAAAUGUUAAAACAGCUCAGUGUAGAACUGUUGAAGAAAAGAAAAGUGUCCUGGAGAGAAGUCUGCAUCCUAACUCAUCAAAGAAAAACCAGCUGUGCUCAAGUUUUAAAGCUAUCUAAUGUUCCAGCCUGGACCUAAGCUUUUCCCAAGUCUGAACUUUAGAGCUGAUAGAUACUGAAAUAGCCUAUUCCAGAGGAGGAACGAGGGAUAGACAACCCAAGAAGGCAGGAAACUCACUUUGAGGAGACAUGGAGAACAACUGAUCAACAUCUCCUCAUAAUAAUCCCCUGAACACCUGAAGACAGCUGUGAGCGCUUAAAGAUUUGCUGAGGCUAAUCUGAACACAGGAACAUCUCCUGGCAGAUUUAAGUAUUACUACUUCACUAGCUGCUCAUUUUGAAGUCCCAGUCAGCAAGGAAUUUCAUGAGUUUCAAGACAUCUGUAUGGAAAAAAAAAAUUUAAUAUCUGUGAAUUCUUAUAAAAUAUGUUGCUGUCCA
ensembl:lncRNA